UCCUUGCCCUAUUUUUUUUUCAUCCCUCCGUUCUGCUUGUAGGGCUUCACACAUGUCUCUUGAAGAUUUUAUUUGAGGCCACCUGUCUAAUUGCGUGUAUACUUCUUUGAUUUAGCUACAUCAGUGUUGGAUUACAUGAGAUCUUCUUCAGAUCCUUCUCAGGUGUUGUUCGAGGAUUUUAGUGUAUGUUCAUCUCUUACAGAUCUUCAACUCAAGCUCAAAAAGGAAGCAUUGCAACUAGAGCGAAGUGUCAAUUGGAAUUCCACGACUCAGAUCCACCGUCGAAAAGGCCUGGCAAUCGCAGCCUCACGAACUAAGACCCAGUUAACAGAAGUUGGUCCUUUUGUCCACCAAUAACAAGAUGAUGCUGACUGCCUGCUAACUACACGCUGCAUAUACAAGCAGCAUAACACAUCAGCCUUAUAAAACAUGCAAUUAAUGAUUGAAUGUUAAUUGCACCAAUAUGUAUGCCUGAACAUACAUUUUUUUUUCAUGGUUGCGUUUGUUAACAGCAGCAUUUUCAGUUAUCGACAUACCAAAUCUCGCUGUCGUAACCAAGUGAAAACAUCACUGAAUGUUGCGCAACGCGCGAACGCUCGAAUACCCCUAGUUCCAAUUAAACUUUACUGUAAAAGAGGUUGUAUUUAAAACAAAAAAUCUAUUUGAUAUUUUAAACUA